rnacentral:rRNA from 1 species
UGGGGAAUAUUGCGCAAUGGGCGAAAGCCUGACGCAGCGACGCCGCGUGGAGGAUGAGGCCCUUCGGGGUGUAAACUCCUGUUGCUCGGGACGAACCCCAGGCAUUGGCUUGGAUGACGGUACCGGGUGAGGAAGCACCGGCUAACUCUGUGCCAGCAGCCGCGGUAAUACAGAGGGUGCGAGCGUUGUCCGGAAUUACUGGGCGUAAAGGGCGCGUAGGUGGCGGGUCACGCGUGCCGUGAAAGCCCGGGGCUCAACCCCGGGUCGGCGGUGCGAACGGGCUUGCUGGAGCGUACGAGAGGCAGGCGGAAUUCCGGGUGUAGCGGUGGAAUGCGUAGAGAUCCGGAAGAACACCGGUGGCGAAGGCGGCCUGCUGGCGUACGGCUGACACUGAGGCGCGACAGCGUGGGGAGCAAACAG